CAAAACCAAUUGAUUUCACGAUCUCUAAAACCGUUCCGGCUCCUUCUAUUAUAAAACUCACCAUGAACUUCAUCUUUCCUACCUUCUCUUACGUAACUUUUUCUUCUAUUCAUGGAUUCUAGGAAACAUAUCAAAACUUAUACUUAAGUUUCCGUUCUAUAAGAAUCUAAGGAGAAAAGCUUGAACGUUUUCAGAUAUUCAACUUAUAAUGUUCAGGAGGAUUCCAUCAGGAAGAUUUGAGGAGCAAUAGAGGCACUAUGUUGGCAGUUGAGCUCUUAAAGAAUCAUGUCGUUCUUCUAACAUAGAGCUGCAAACAACCUUUGAAUGGAGUCCCUAAUUCCCUAGAUCAGAUUUCUUGUCAAUGGAGAUUUUUAAUGAAGCACUAGAUUGAAUUACUGGAAACAGAAAGGAAAAGACAUAAAUUGCUCAUAAACAUGUUAGGAAUUAGAGAAAAUACAAGAAAAUCCUAAGAGCAAGAAAAAAUGUAGUUAAGAAAGCUUCAAAUUAGUAUUUGCCUUGGACAAAGUAAUUUAUAUUAGUACUGAACUUAAAACGAUCGAAAGUAAUAUUUAUGUUUAUUUUUAUUUUGUUCUGCUACG